rnacentral:rRNA from 1 species
UACGUAGGGGGCAAGCGUUGUCCGGAUUUAUUGGGCGUAAAGAGCGUGUAGGCGGCCACACAGGUCUGCUGUGAAAACUCGAGGCUCAACCUCGAGCUGUCGGUGGAAACCGUGUGGCUAGAGUCCGGAAGAGGAGAGUGGAAUUCCCGGUGUAGCGGUGAAAUGCGCAGAUAUCGGGAAGAACACCCGUGGCGAAGGCGGGCUACU